GGAGGGGUCUGUUGCGCCUGCGCAACUGGCUGCCCUCUAAGGGCCUGGAGCGCAUGUGCGGAGGGAGUGGCGGAAAACGGGGGUGGAGUCUGACUUCAGCAUUCAUAGGAUGCUCCAGCUCACAUGCAGAAACUGAGGUGAAGUAUAUUACAUGGGUCACAUAGCAAUUGAAUAGCAAAGCCAGAUUUGAAGCCAGACUGACUCCAGAACCUAUGCUGCUAACUACGAGGCUCUGCUGCCUCAUAACGGUACUGGGUCUGAUAUUUUACCUCCACACAUACAGAAGGGUAUGAAGAGAGAUUUGCUGCAUUUCAGAAUCUAAACCAGCGCUUGCUUUUCAUCACUGUGAGGCUACACACAGGUAUUGAAUUCUCUGGCACUGGGCACACCAAGGUAUUCUCUGCCACUGGGCAUGCCAAGGUAUUGAAUUCUCUUCUCUGAAGUCUAUAUCUGUGGGUCUGACUGGGCCACUUGCUCAGCAGGAGGUCUCAGACACCAAACUGGGGAAAAAUGAAGCUGACAGAGUGUGUGAUAUUUCCAAAGAGUCAUUUAGGUUCUGUCUAUUACUGCAGUGUUCAAAACAGAGACAAGUUCAAUGCUGUGAUUAAAGUGACUUUCACCAU